AUUGAACGCUGGCGGCAUGCCUUACACAUGCAAGUCGAACGGCAGCGCGGGAGCAAUCCUGGUGGCGAGUGGCGAACGGGUGAGUAAAGUAUCGGAACGUGCCCAGUCGUGGGGGAUAACGUAGCGAAAGUUACGCUAAUACCGCAUACGAUCUAUGGAUGAAAGCGGGGGAUCGCAAGACCUCGCGCGAUUGGAGCGGCCGAUAGCAGAUUAGGUAGUUGGUGGGGUAAAGGCUCACCAAGCCGACGAUCUGUAGCUGGUCUGAGAGGACGACCAGCCAAACGGGGACUGAGAAACGGCCCAGACUCCUACGGGAGGAAGCAGUGGGGAAUUUUGGACAAUGGGCGAAAGCCUGAUCCAGCCAUGCCGCGUGCAGGAUGAAGGCCUUCGGGUUGUAAACUGCUUUUGUACGGAACGAAAAGGUUUGGGCUAAUAAGCUGAGCUCAUGACGGUACCGUAAGGAUAAGCACCGGCUAACUACGUGCCAGCCGCCGCCGUAA
rnacentral:rRNA from 1 species